rnacentral:misc_RNA from 1 species
AAUUCUCAAUCCUUCGAAUUUAUUUAAUAUAAAGGAAGAAGGCUUGGAUUUGGAGGUUGUGCUGGCUUUUGAUAAAGUAUAGCUCCUCUUAAAUAUAUUAGCGCAAAACUUUACGGAUCGCUCUUCGGUGUGAUAAUUAUUUACGCCAUUAGUGUGUGAAGUAUUAAAUAGUUUGUGCUUCUAACAGUUCUGUAUAGGACAAGUAUUACUUGAC